rnacentral:rRNA from 1 species
ACUCCUACGGGAGGCAGCAGUAGGGAAUAUUGGUCAAUGGGCGGGAGCCUGAACCAGCCAUGCCGCGUGCAGGAAGACGGCCUUCUGGGUUGUAAACUGCUUUUUUCAGGGAAGAAAACGCCCAUGCGUGGGAGAUUGACGGUACCUGAAGAAUAAGCACCGGCUAACUCCGUGCCAGCAGCCGCGGUAAUACGGAGGGUGCAAGCGUUGUCCGGAUUUAUUGGGUUUAAAGGGUGCGUAGGCGGCUUUUUAAGUCAGUGGUGAAAUGCGGCAGCUCAACUGCCGGAGUGCCAUUGAUACUGAAAAGCUUGAGUAUAGAUGAGGCAGGCGGAAUUUAUGGUGUAGCGGUGAAAUGCAUAGAUACCAUAAAGAACACCGAUAGCGUAGGCAGCUUGCUAAACUAUAACUGACGCUGAGGCACGAAAGCAUGGGUAGCGAACAGGAUUAGAUACCCUGGUAGUCCAUGCCGUAAACGAUGAUUACUCGAUGUGUGCGAUACACAGUACGCGUCCAAGCGAAAGCG